CUGCUUCCCCAAACACAAUUCCUCCACAGCUGCCUCUGCUAAAGCAACAAUGGACCCAAGCCCUGAGCACCUGAGACCUGUGGCUUUUUACCUGGAGUGACCUUCCCUGACUCGUUGUUUACCUUGAGAGAAAGGGAACAUUUGCUGCCUAGUGGAUCUCAGCUACAGCUUUCAGGCAGCGAUGAAAACACUCGAAGCCUAAGAGCAACAUUUGAAUUUAAAAAAUCAUAAUUACAGCGCCCAAGAGGCAGAAGUUGGACGAGAGCAAUGAACAAAGCAGGGGGUUGGACGAAAACAAAGAAAGGCAUGAGAGGAAUCUGUGCUUUGAACAGAGAGUCCUGAAUAUCUUGCACUGGCUACUUCAAACUGGGCACCCAAAAUUAAUAGAUUCUUUGACCUUUGCUUCUCUGUGCUCUGGUUCUUUGUUUGUAAAGCAGAAACUACAAUAGAGCCUCACCAAAGGAAAAAAAAAAUGUCAUCAGAGCAACUGCUGUGGCCAAAGCACUCGGAUGCUGCAGAGAUGAGGAUGAAGAAGGAAAAAAAAACCCUAACCCUGAAUGGCUUUUCAGCAAUUACAACUUUGCACCCACUGGAGUUGACGGGGGGAGGAGGAGUCUUACGCAUCACUUUUUGCUUGCUGGAGCAGAGACAGAAGUGCUGAGAAUCCCAUUCCUCAAAGUCAGACUGUGACGGUUUUGUCCUGAUUUGUGUUUCCAAGGAGCAAAAAGGAUCCAACAAAACCCAGCAGAAGAUUCAGGCUGUCUUCAGCGGGUGCACUGGACAAAACCUCGUGCUGAUCACUCCAGGGACACCCGCUCCCUCCUUCUGCUGGCUCUUCACCUGCCUGAGCUCUCCAGAAAUGAUGUGGGAGGAGCUGCAGAGAGGCAGCUUGGACAUAAAUCCAGGUGGAAAACAAGGACACUGAAGGUCUUCUCACUGGAUUGAAACAGUUACUCUCAUGAGUGGUAUAAUUUAUCAUAAAUCAGAUAAAUACGGGGGAGAAAAAAAUCCAAGUAGUUCAUACUGGGCAAUGUUCAGUCCCAAAGUGCAACAAGAAGCCACAGUGGACUUCUUCCUUGUUGGUUUGCACAGUAAGGAUGAGACAACGUGCCCAUCCAACUGGGAACACCAAGGCAACCUACUUCUUGGUUAAGGAAAGUGGCACUGUAAAGUCCCUUUCUCAGCAGCCCUUAAAAACUCUGUUAUAACCAGCCAGCUCCUCCUCGCUCCAGGAAUGCAUCUUCCUUGGUCCAAGCUUGGAUAGAGGUUAGGCUGGGAAAGCAUCAGCCUGCCUGGGAGCAAUCACUCUGUUCAGACACAUGUUAAUGAAUUUCCAUCAAAGGGGUCAGGUAUCAAAGUUCUUUUCUAUGCUGCUGGAGCAAACCUUCCUGUGACAAAUUCCUGCCCUUAUUCCAGCUCCGUAUCUGUUACAAGCGACUCCUGUGAGAACCAGAUCCUCCUUGAACCCACCAGCACAGGAACUACCCUCCUUGCUGGUCCAGCAUCCUUCCUCUCCUGCCCCCCACCCUUUUUUUAGGUCUCCUUCUCCUCACCAGCCUUUCCUUGCGCUUGCCCGUUCCAUGAUUUCAUCCGAGGUGGGUGGUGAGCUCGCUCUCCCCCGCGCAGCCUCUUCCCAGCGGCUCCCGGGAUCCCUGCCAGCUCCUCUCCACCCACGGCCUCUCCCGACGAGCCCAACCGCGCGGCUCUGCCCGCGCCAAGGCAGCAUCUCACAUCUGCUGGGCUGGCUCGGCCAGGGGCAGGGGAGCCAAGGAGCACCUCAGUGAUCCCCCUGCACCAGUGCCUUCCAGGGGCUGGCAUCUCCACCCCUGCAUCCCACAGGACCCCCGGCUUCCCGCCCAGGUCAUGGUGAUGGGUCACUGAAGUGACUCUUGAACGUUUGAAUGCUGCAAACCCAAAUUUGAGUUUAGAAAACAGUUUUGCGAGUUGAAAACCAAAUGAAAACUGCCUUUUUAACCCUUUUUUCCUGAGUUGCUCCUACACAUAAAACCUCUGUGUGGAUUUAAGCAUUCCCAGCCUGGCUAAUGCAGGAGCACCAGGCAGUGAAGUCAGCCGGUCCUAUGGCUUCAGAGAUUAUGGAGCUGAAGAUGGCAAAGCAGAUUUGAAUCAGAUUUUGAAUUUGUUAAGCCAAAGUGUUAAAAUUGAAAACAGAGCACAGGACAGCUUUUCAAACCUCUCAGGUUAUUCCCUCCGCUCUUCUGCCAUGAUUUAAAAAAAUUAAUCUUUUCACUAUUGCUCCCAAUGCCAUUUCUGUGAGUCCAUAAAACCACUUUCUUCUUGUCAGAGAAUUCCGACGCCGGUGAUUUAUAGGCUUUGCUUGGAACACAGCACAUAAGUACUUCACUUUUUCAUUCGCUCUUUCUAAACGUUUUUAACGAUCUGCUUCCUCAGAUCUGUUUACAUUUGGGACAUUAAAAGCUAAGCAACAACUCCAUUAUGAGAAAGAACACCAUAAAAAUUCCACCAUUGCCAGGAAACAUCUCAAUACAGUGACAAACGUAGCCACUCUCUCGUCCUGCUGCUCAUCCGUAGGAAGACUGGUUUAUAAAUUAUUCAUGAGUGCCUUAAAAUUUCCAAGCUAAUCUCAACUAAAAAGUGGGGUUUUUUACACCAUUGUUUCGCUCCAAAGUUCUCCAACUGGAAUUUUGAUUUGCAUAGUGAAAUCUUUAAAUUUACUUGCACUGAAUUUCUCUUUCCUUCAAGUUGUGAUUUCAGUUCUCACACUGGAAACACAGUGGAGAGUCUUUACUUAUUUGGAAGCCUGGAAAUCCGUGAUAAUCCCCAUGAAUUUCCUGAGAAAUUUAGGUUUUCCCAGAGGUGGUUUUUGAGCAGGUUUGGAUUUGUAAGGAUUUUGGCACCUUUCAGCAGGCAAUCCCGUCACCCCAUGGCAUUUUUAGUAAGGAUGAAGUAUAUAGGGGACUAUCAAGCCAUUCUCUUCCCAGUCUGUUUCACAGUAAGAACAGGCAAGAUUCAAAAUUAAAUCAUGGCAAAAUCUAACAGAGAAAAUCACUUUGGGGUCCUCUGGAGGCUACUAACAGAGCAGCUCACUCACCUGUGCU